rnacentral:rRNA from 1 species
UUGGAGGGCAAGUCUGGCGCCAGCAGCCGCGGUAAUUCCAGCUCCAAUAGCGUAUAUUAAAGUUGUUGCAGUUAAAAAGCUCGUAGUUGAAUUUCGGGAUCAGAGUGUCGGUCGUGCCUCGGUACGCACUGGUAUUAUUGGUUCCUACCUUCUGAAGAACCGCGAUGUCAUUAAUUUGGUGUCGUGGGGAAUCAGGACUGUUACUUUGAAAAAAUUAGAGUGUUUAAAGCAGGCUUACGCUUGAAUACAUUAGCAUGGAAUAAUGAAAUAGGACGUUUGAUUCUAUUUUGUUGGUUUCUAGGAUUGACGUAAUGAUUAAUAGGGAUAGUUGGGGGCAUUAGUAUUCAAUUGUCAGAGGUGAAAUUCUUGGAUUUAUUGAAGACUAACUACUGCGAAAGCAUUUGCCAAGGAUGUUUUCAUUAAUCAAGAACGAAAGUUAGGGGAUCGAAGACGAUCAGAUACCGUCGUAGUCUUAACCAUAAACUAUGCCGACUAGGGAUCGGAUGAUGUUAAUUUUUUAAUGACUCAUUCGGCGCCUUACGGGAAAC